UACAGAGGUCUCAAGCGUUGUUCGGAUUCAUUGGGCGUAAAGGGUGCGUAGGUGGCGCCGUAAGUCGGGUGUGAAAUUUCGGAGCUUAACUCCGAAACUGCAUUCGAUACUGCGGUGCUUGAGGACUGGAGAGGAGACUGGAAUUCCUGGUGUAGCGGUGGAAUGCGCAGAUAUCUGGAGGAACACCGGUGGCGAAGGCGGCAUCCUGGACCGGCAUUGACGCUGAGGAGCGAAAGCCAGGGGAGCAAACGGG
rnacentral:rRNA from 1 species